rnacentral:rRNA from 14 species
GCCUAUAGCAUGACCACCCUGAGAACACUCAAUCUUGUCUGAUCUCAGAAGCUAAGCAGGGUCUGGCUCUGGCCUUGCUGAAGGUU